rnacentral:rRNA from 1 species
AACGAACGCUGGCGGCAUGCCUAACACAUGCAAGUCGAACGAGACCUUCGGGUCUAGUGGCGCACGGGUGCGUAACGCGUGGGAACCUGCCCUUAGGUUCGGAAUACCUCCCCGAAAGGGGUGCUAAUACCGGAUAAUGUCUUCGGACCAAAGAUUUAUCGCCUUUGGAUGGGCCCGCGUUGAAUUAGCUAGUUGGUAGGGUAAAAGCCUACCAAGGCGACGAUCCAUAGCUGGUCUGAGAGGAUGAUCAGCCACACUGGGACGGAGACACGGCCCAGACUCCUACGGGAGGCAGCAGUGGGGAAUAUUGGAAAAUGGGCGAAAGCCUGAUCCAGCAAUGCCGCGUGAGUGAUGAAGGCCUUAGGGUUGUAAAGCUCUUUUACCCGGGAUGAUAAUGACAGUACCGGGAGAAUAAGCUCCGGCUAACUCCGUG